rnacentral:tRNA from 1 species
AAAAKCCGUCGACUUUUAAAAUCGUGAGGGUUCAAGUCCCUCUAUCCC